GAUGAAGAACGAAGCGAAAUGCGAUAAGUAAUGUGAAUUGCAGAAUUCAGUGAAUCAUCGAAUCUUUGAACGCACAUUGCGCCCGGCAGUACUCUGCCGGGCAUGCCUGUUCGAGCGUCAUUUCAACCCUCAAGCCCUGCUUGGUGUUGGGGUCCCACGGCCGCCGUGGGCCCUGAAAGGAAGUGGCGGGCUCGCUACAACUCCGAGCGUAGUAAUUCAUUAUCUCGCUUAGGGCGUUGGGCGGCGCUCCUGCCGUUAAAGAACCAUCUUUAACUCAAGGUUGACCUCGGAUCAGGUAGGAAUACCCGCUGAACUUAAGCAUAUCAAUAAGCGGAGGA
rnacentral:misc_RNA from 1 species